rnacentral:rRNA from 1 species
AUCAUUAUCGAUUAUAAUCCGACGAAGGGAAUCGAGUCGGCUGUCGCUGGCCUUUCGCGAGGCAUGUGCACGCUUUCUUUCCUACCUUCGUCGUAUGGGCGCGGGGCGACCCGCGUCUUCAUAUACCUCUUCGUGUAGAAAGUCUUUGAAUGUUUUUUUUUACAAUCGUCGAGUCGCGACUUCUAGGAGACGCGAUUCUUCGAGACAAAAGUUAUUACAACUUUCAGCAAUGGAUCUCUUGGCUGUCGCAUCGAUGAAGAACGCAGCGAAUCGCGAUAUGUAAUGUGAAUUGCAGAUCUACAGUGAAUCAUCGAAUCUUUGAACGCACCUUGCGCUUCUCGGUGUUCCGAGGAGCAUGCCUGUUUGAGUGUCAGUAAAUUCUCAACCCCUCUCGAUUUUCUUCGACUGGGAGUUUGGAUAGUGGGGGCUGCCGGAGAUUCGAAUUCGUUCGAGACUCGGGCUCUCCUGAAAUGCAUCGGCUUGCGGUCGACUUUCGACUUUGCACGACAAGGCCUUCGGCGUGAUAAUGAUCGCCGUUCGCCGAAGUGCGCGAAUGAAACGUCCCGCGCCUCUAAUGCGUCGACCCCUUCCGGGCGUCUUCUUUAUCGACGUUUGACCUCAAAUCAGGUAGGACUACCCGCUGAACUUAAGCAUAUCAAUAAGCGGAGGAA